rfam:Rhodococcus kyotonensis strain KB10 scaffold1.1, whole genome shotgun sequence.
CGAGUCGGUUGGACGGCUGCGGCACGGAGAACUGACGGAGCGAUUCCGUCAAGCUUCGCGCCGAGGAAAGUCCGGACUCCACAGAGCAGGGCGGUUGCUAACGGCAACCCGAGGUGACUCGCGGGACAGUGCCACAGAAAACAGACCGCCCACUUGCGGCGCCCUCGGGUGUCGUGCGUGGGUGAGGGUGAAACGGUGCGGUAAGAGCGCACCAGCACCUCAGGUGACUGAGGUGGCUAGGUAAACCCCGCCCGGAGCAAGGUCGAAGGCCGCACCUUCUCUAGGUGCGGCUGCGCAGGUGUUCGAGGGCUGCUCGCCCGAGCCUGCGGGUGGACUGCUCGAGGUACCCGGCGACGGUGUGCCCAGAUGGAUGGUCGUCGUUCCGUCCCGUUUCGGCGGGAGGGAAAACAGGAUCCGGCUUACAUGCCGACUCGUUCG